GGGAAGCGAGACGGUGACGUUAAGCAAAUCCCAAAAAUAACGUCCCAGUUCGGAUUGUAGUCUGCAACUCGACUACAUGAAGCUGGAAUCGCUAGUAAUCGCGAAUCAGAAUGUCGCGGUGAAUACGUUCCCGGGUCUUGUACACACCGCCCGUCACACCAUGGGAGUCGGAAAUGCCCGAAGUCAGUGACCUAACCGAAAGGAAGGAGCUGCCGAAGGUGGAGCCGGUAACCGGGGUGAAGUCGUAACAAGGUACC
rnacentral:rRNA from 1 species